GACGAACCGAGCGAACGUUGUUCGGAAUCACUGGGCUUAAAGGGCGCGUAGGCGGGCCGUCAAGUCAAGGGUGAAAGCCCCCGGCUCAACCGGGGAAGUGCCUCUGAUACUGGCGGCCUCGAGGGAGGUAGGGGCGUGCGGAACUUCCGGUGGAGCGGUGAAAUGCGUAGAUAUCGGAAGGAACACCGGUGGCGAAAGCGGCGCGCUGGACCUCUUCUGACGCUGAGGCGCGAAAGCCAGGGGAGCGAACAGG
rnacentral:rRNA from 1 species